rnacentral:lncRNA from 1 species
CAAAGUUGAAUCUAGCUUGCUUUGCACCCCCUUCACUGCCGGACCACAGAAUUUCCAUAGUUUCGUGUUCAAACGCUCCCCCCUUCACGAUUCGAAUUUUGGGAAAGAGCUCCGGUUCGCUUCAUUCUCUCGCACGCCGCCGCUGGCCGGCCUCUCCUCCUCAAGUCCUCAUCGACCAGUCUCCGAUCCCAAGUCGCGAAUCAAGAGGAGAAGGAGAAGCGAGGAUGGAGGUGGACCUCUCGGACGAGCGCGUGGCGGCGGGGGAGGGGCACCUGAGGCCGGUCGUUUCGCGGGGGGCCGCGGCAGAGCGGUACAAGCUGGUGCUCUCCGACGGCGUCCACUCGCUGCCGGUCUAUCUUCCUGUUACCUCCUCCCACCUCGUAAAAGUCGGCGCUCUCCGCCGUGCUACCGUGUUCCGUCUCCAUCCAAGGGCGCAGGUGGGGAAUCACUCCCAUUUAGGUUUCGUCGCUUUACUUAUUCCCCUGUUACUUAAUUGAUUAUUGAGGCCCUGUGCAAGUGCAAUCAAUCGAUCUAGUUAUUUCGCGUGCUAUUCAUUGCCGAGAGAGCCGAAACGAAUUCGAAUUACUCCCGGAGAUUUUGAACUUCUUUAGAUUUUGGGGAAUCGUUUAGGAUUUGGACUAUUUCAUCAUUGAUCCUGAUGUGUUUAGCUCCCCGAAAGGGUAAAAUGAUAAACUCAUACCACGAAAUCUGUCAAUCUUGUCCAUUCAUUCUCCUCC